AACGGCUUGAAGUUCUUUAUGAAUCAAGAUGGCCUGCAGGAACCAAGAAGUCUGGGGCAGCCAAAAACCACAAAGAAGUAAAACAGCCAGUUUCUGCCUUAACUAAUGAACCAACAUUACACCAUUCUACUAUUGUGGCUUGACCCUGCCAUACUUUGAUCAGUGACUUGGUGACAUCCUUCUUCUGGACAAUGAGUCUUAUGAUCUCCCCACCGCGCACCUUGUGACCUCCUCCUCUGCCAACAAUAGAUAACCGCCUUUUACUGUAAUUUUCCAUUACCUACCCAACUCCUAUAAAGCAACCCCUUCCCCAUCUCCCUUCGCUGACUCUCUCUUUGGACUCAGCCCACUUGCACCCAAGUGAAAUAAACAGCCUUGUUGCUCACACAAAGCCUGUUGGUGGUCUCUUCAUAAGGACGCGCUUGACAAAUGGGAUCCAUCUAACCUACAGGAAGAGGUUUCAGGAAUUUGGGC
rnacentral:lncRNA from 10 species